GCAUCGGUGGUUCAGUGGUAGAAUGCUCGCCAGCCAUGCGGGCGGCCCGGGUUUGAUUCCUGGCCGAUGCA